AGGUUGCUAGCCAGUGGACAAAAUGUAUCAAAAUGUUUCAGUGUAAAAAAAAUAUAAGUACACAGUACCAUGCAUCUUUUUGAGAUCAAUAAUAUGAAGAGGAGAAUAAUAUAUGUUUUUUGUUAAGACCUGCAGUGGUUAUGGUACUGCAGUCUUCUAUUCCUCCCCCAAUAGCUGUGCAUAAGUGAUUAUAACUGCAGUUAGGAGGUAGAGGAAUAGUGUAGAUGAAUGCAGCUUCCAAGAUGAUUCACCCCAGCAAGUAGAAUAUUCCCCAAACAUGAGCCUAGACUUCAUGAAGGGUGUAACAGGAAUAACUUUUAUU